rnacentral:misc_RNA from 1 species
AACACCUCAAGUCUCUUCUUUUUUGAGAAGAGAGUUGGACUUGAGCAAUCCCAACUUUUUUAUUAAAGGCGGGUUGCUUGAAAUGCAGGUGCAGCUGGACAUUCUUCUGAGCUAAAAGCAUAUUUAUUUAGUCCCGUCAAACGGAUUAUUACUUUUGCUCUAGCUAAUAUAAAGGAAGAGUGUUCUCUAUGCUGACUGAUGCAGGAUUACCAAGAUUUACCUAGUAAAACUUGUAA